GAUAGCUCUUUACAAAUUUGACUCACUUAGCUGUCAUUACAUCUUGAAUGUUUUGAUUCAAUUUUUCAAUUUAGGAUUUGGAAGAAUCAGUUCCGUUGUUGCGGAAGCAGCAUGCCAGAGAAACGACUUCUAGAUUUCAAAUAUCAAUGAGCGUGACUAUCUGGACUUGGUUCUUCCUGCUUAGAGUCUUCCAGAGCAUUUGCAGUUAUAGGUGCUGGAGUCUCUGUGCUCCUUAGCUUUGCAGCCAAUGCUUAUUCUGACAAGGCCAGAGAAGGCUUAGAGUUUUAUAGUCAUCCGUGGCCUCAGUAAGGCAUUCUCAGUUCGGCCAUGCUCCGUGUGGUAUACUAUAUACCCUAACGAACUGAGGAAGAAACUAAGGGCAUGGCAGCUGAUAUUUGAGGUAAUCGACGAGCCUAAUGAUGAGGGUGAGAUGUAUCGUUUGCUCUGAAAACAGAGUGAUCGGCUUCCGCAGCCUUAUGCUAAUGAAGUGGCUGCCAGAUUUGAUAAUGGAGGAGCCUAUCCACCUGAUCUGGGUCUUAUCACUAAGGACCACACAAUGAGCCAGAGUGAUCGCUCUUCAUGUGAUAGUAUGUGCUCAAGAACCUGACCCUGGUGUGCUCAGAAACUGC